GGGGGGGGGGGGGGGGGGGGGGGGGGGGGGGGGGGGGGGGGGGGGGGGGGUGGGUUUGGGGGGUGCUCGGGUGUGUGGCGGGGUAGUGGCCCGUGGUGAGCCUGCCCUUUGCGGUGGGAUCACUUCCGUAAAGUUGGGCUCGUACGGGGUCGGCGCUCCUGCUUCAUGGUGGUGGUGUGCUAUCUUCGUCUGUUGUGGAUGGCCUCGCGUCUUAUCAGCUUGUUGGUGUUGUAGUGGCUUACCAAGGCUUUGACGGGUAGCCGGCCUGCGAGGGUUACCGGCCACAUUGGGACUGAGAUGCGGCCCAGACUCCUACAGGAGGCAGAAGUGGGGAAUAUUGCACAAUGGGAGGAAGCCUGAUGCAGCAACGCCGCGUGCGGGAUGACGGCCGUAGGGUUGUAAACCGCUUUCGCCUGUGACGAAGCGUGAGUGACGGUAAUGGGUAAAGAAGAACCGGCUAACUAAGUG
rnacentral:rRNA from 1 species